AGUCUGACGGAGCAACGCCGCGUGAGUGAUGAAGGUUUUCGGAUCGUAAAACUCUGUUGUUAGGGAAGAACAAGUACGAGAGUAACUGCUCGUACCUUGACGGUACCUAACCAGAAAGCCACGGCUAACUACGUGCCAGCAGCCGCGGUAAUACGUAGGUGGCAAGCGUUGUCCGGAAUUAUUGGGCGUAAAGCGCGCGCAGGCGGUCCUUUAAGUCUGAUGUGAAAGCCCACGGCUCAACCGUGGAGGGUCAUUGGAAACUGGGGGACUUGAGUGCAGAAGAGAAGAGUGGAAUUCCACGUGUAGCGGUGAAAUGCGUAGAGAUGUGGAGGAACACCAGUGGCGAAGGCGACUCUUUGGUCUGUAACUGACGCUGAGGCGCGAAAGCGUGGGGAGCAAACAGGAUUAGAUACCCUGGUAGUCCACGCCGUAAACGAUGAGUGCUAAGUGUUAGAGGGUUUCCGCCCUUUAGUGCUGCAGCAAACGCAUUAAGCACUCCGCCUGGGGAGUACGGCCG
rnacentral:rRNA from 2 species